rnacentral:rRNA from 1 species
GAGCUGGGUUUAGAACGUCGUGAGACAGUUCGGUCCCUAUCUGCCGUGGGUGUUCGAGACUUGAGAGGAGCUGUCCCUAGUACGAGAGGACCGGGAUGGACGCACCUCUGGUGGACCUGUUGUCGCGCCAGCGGCAUAGCAGGGUAGCUAAGUGCGGACAGGAUAACCGCUGAAUGCAUCUAAGCGGGAAGCCCCCCUCAAAACCAGGUCUCGCUGAGAACCGUGGUAGACCACCACGUCGAUAGGCCAGGUGUGGAAGCGUGGUAACAUGUGAAGCUAACUGGUACUAAUCGUUCGAUCGGCUUGAU